rnacentral:sRNA from 2 species
CAAUCGAAUAUGCCGAAUUCACUUAUGUGAAACGGGGGAACCAUCAAAGGGGCGAAUUUCGAAAGAAAAGAACAUGCUCUUUCUGUUCUAGCCCGACAGCUAACCUCGUAGGCAUAGAAAGAGGUAAA